UUAUUCACCUCUCAACAGUUUUCUCACCAAUGUCCUUUUCCUGCUCUGCGCCCACAGCACACCAAAGUUCCUAGCCAGGAAUCGAACCUGCGCCACAGCAGCAAGCCAAGCUGCUGCAGUGACAACCCCAGAUCCCUAAUCUGCUAGACUGUAAGAGAACUCUUGAUGCCGUUUUCCUGAUCCAGGAUCCAAUCUGAGCCGUGCUCGGCAUUGCCGUUUGCUGUGACUGCGUAACAAGUUGCCCCAUUUGCUCUAUUCUGCCAACUUUUCCUGAGCUGGAGCCCUGGCCUGCCGCCUGGGAGGUCACGUCUGAUGGGGUGGGGGCGCCUCACCAUCUCCCUCUCCGGGAUUCCAGACCCGCCUGGGUCCCAGGAGAUUUAUGCCAGGCCUGCCCUACGUGGCUAUUUUCUGACUCUGGUCGCUGAUCUGGUGGAUCGUUCAUGUGUAGAAGCAAGAAGAGCACUUUACAGUUUGCAAAGCUCCUGUAUGGACGUGGUGUGUCCCACGGAAACUCACAAUCAUCCGGAGAGCUGGCCACGCAGACCGAGGCCCCUGAACUCUCCGGGCUGAGCCGGCCGAGCUCCAGGCCCACCUGCCAGGCGCAGCCUCUUAACAAGCUGGGAAACCGGCUGAUGGGCAGUGAAGUGCACGCUGCUGCUGGCUGGAUGGGGACAGCACAUUCUGUCCGCAGGAGGCGGGUGCUGGCAGAGCUGAAGGCAGCGGAAGGACGCAGAGUGUAUAUUAUGAACUAACACACAACCUGUGUGCUGUGGAGCAAAACCAUACCGGAUAAUGAAAAGAGCCGAAUUCUCAACAGGCCAGCGUGGGUUGAUAUUAAAGCGCAUAUGUCCUGAGCCUUGAAGCAGGUGCGUCCCGUCCAGAGCUCCUGCCUCUUCUGCGCCGUGGACCCUGUGGCAGCCUGGCGAAGCCGUAGACCCCUUUUUCAGAACAAUGUUUUAAAUGCAUUUAAAAAAGUGCAUAGGCAUGCCCAGGGUGGCAUGGCCUUGGGAUAGAACGUGAUGGAAGAUAAUACAAGAAAAAAGAUGUGUACAUAUGACUGGGUCAUUUUGUUGUACAGCAGAAAUUGGUACACCAUUGAAAAUCAACUCUACUUUAAUUAAAAAAAACUCAUAGGAUCACAAAGAAAAGUCUCCCGACUAGUUACCAAACCCUUAAAAAUGACAUUUGCGGUGUUGUGAUCUACGGGCUUCUUUAAAAUUCAUGCGCUAAGUAGCAAGAUCUAACAACAGGUCUGUUAGUUGUCAGGACUGUGAGACCGGGCUGCCCAUCAAGGAUUCGUCACCGUCUCUGCAGAAAGUCGCUGGAACCGCCUGUGUCCAUGACGGAGGAAACGCUGAAUCCCGCCCACGUCGGUGGGAAUGAAGAUGUGACUUGUUUCGCCGUCAAGCUCGUGGACGCGGCCCCGGGCGAAGGCGGGGACAGAAUACCACUGCCUUGAAGUCUGGUUUCUGGAAGCCGGGGUGCGGAGGGUGUGGCAGCGAUCCCGGCAGACAGGCCCUGCCCCCAGGCUUAUGGCCUCCGGGGUGACAGCACACAAGUGAAUUCGGUCAAGCCCGCGCUUCGGGACAUGACGCAAGGCUGCAGCUGCUGGCCUACACCACCGC